ensembl:snRNA U6 U6 spliceosomal RNA
GUGCUUACUACGGCAGCACAUAUACUAAAAUUGGAACGAUACAGAGAAGAUUAGCAUGGCCCCUGCACAAGGAUGACAUGCAAAUUUGUGAAGCGUUCCAUAUUUAA